UACGUAGGGUGCAAGCGUUGUCCGGAAUUAUUGGGCGUAAAGAGCUCGUAGGCGGUCUGUCGCGUCGGAUGUGAAAACCCAGGGCUCAACCCUGGGCCUGCAUUCGAUACGGGCAGACUAGAGUUCGGUAGGGGAGACUGGAAUUCCUGGUGUAGCGGUGAAAUGCGCAGAUAUCAGGAGGAACACCGAUGGCGAAGGCAGGUCACUGGGCCGCAACUGACGCUGAGGAGCGAAAGCAUGGGGAGCGAACAGG
rnacentral:rRNA from 1 species